UGGCACUGAGAUGUUGUUUUCAAGAGUGAAAGGACCGGAACUUCAAUUUGAAACAAUACCUUCAGGAGGAUCAAAGACACAACUGUACGUGCAAGUUUAUCUUUUUCCAUGAUACUGAUGUAAAAAGGACUACUAACUCCUGCUGUUCCUCAGGAGUAUAAUCAUGUACUCAGGUGCUUUGGAGCAGGUGUCCACAACCCCGGUCUGGCACCAGUCCACAGCUCUCCAGGAACCGGUCCACACAAGCAAGCAAAGCCCCAGCCACACAUGCAUAGGAUACAAGCAGCACAUGAACCCAUGCCCC